rnacentral:lncRNA from 1 species
ACCAUCUACCCGACUCAUCAAACAACUAAUCUUUGAUCACUCCGCCCAUUUCUAAAUUAGGAAGUCGCAACUGAGCGUCCGAACCACAAGCGUUGACUGAGUCUACCGAGUGGCUUACAUUUCUAAGAUCUUGGAGCAGAUACAGAAAAAGGCACCCUCACCUGCUGCCCUGGGAGAAGCCCAGGCACGAAGCCAGAUUUACAAAUCAUAAAGCCGCCACACAGGAAAGGAGUGGAAAUAAACGGGGGCUUGGUGAGAACGGACACAAAGCCACGACCACUCUGGAGACUGAGCGAAGGCUCCAGCCUAGUGACCGACCCUUCAACAGCCUGCGAGGAAAAAUGAGCAUCCUUUACAAGUGAACGUGUUUGCCGUCAGCUGUUGGACCGAGCGUGUGAAAAAGUGCAUCUCGAGACAAGCCGAAGAAAAGGGUUACGUUGUUGACAACAUCUUGGUUUCGUUCCAGAGAAGGUCAGUGGUUUGUGUGACAUGGACGCAGACUGAACGGCAGAUUAUUUAACAAUUUCAAAAAAAAUUAAAUCAUCUAGUCAGCCAAAGGUCUGGUGCACAGAUGCGGGUCAUCUACCCCAGGGCAGGGAGAUGAAAGGCUUUCCUGGCCGUUGGUGGCAGAGUUAGCACGUUAGUACCAUCUCUCCGGCCGCACCGUGUCACACGCAGGGUCCUCGGGAGACCAGCGCGCGGCCAUGUGACUGUCCCCUGCUACGUUAGAAACGCAGUUCUGUUUUUUCAAGCAUGCUUCGAUUAAAGAGGGCACAUCUGUUUUAAGUUC